UAGGAAAGUAUAAAGAUUGAAUUAAUACUCAAAAAAUUGUUAUAUCUUAAUGUAUCUGCUCAUAUAGAAGCUAGGCUUGGUAGGCGACAGGAUUCAGAAUGUCAUGAUUUGCAAGCGUUUCUGAUCCAGUUGUUUUAUUAUCGCAUUUCAUUAGUCUUUUACAUGUUGUUAUUAGUUCAUCACUUCACCACUUGUCUGUUCCAAUCACACAGCUCCACAUUCUGCGAUGUUACAUGAAUGCUUUAUAUGGCUUGUUCGUUAUUCUCUUAGAGGCUGCAUUGUGUGCUUACCCCUGUUUUUAACUCCAACGAUGAUUUUUGCAUUGUUUUUUCACCUCUAUGAUUUUUCCCAUAUGUUUUCAAACUAGAGCUUCUCAUGUUUCGCUCUCACACCAUUAAGUGGAGUUCAUAGUGGUGAAAAUUCAUGUAAAAACAAGUGGAAAAGCAUUGUCUGUUAAAAUUCAUGGUGAGAGGAUUGUGAGACAAAAGUAUAAGAUGAGACUAUUGUAAUAGUAUAAGGUUAAGAUGUCACUUUGGUCAAUAUAAUUGGAUAAUUUAUGGGACAUCAUGUCUAGUCCAUAUACAUCUUGUGCCUGACCUCCAGUAACCCCAUGAGCACAUC
rnacentral:lncRNA from 1 species